rnacentral:rRNA from 1 species
GACGAACUUUGGCGGCGUGCUUAACACAUGCAAGUCGAACGGAAAGGCCCUGCUUUUGUGGGGUGCUCGAGUGGCGAACGGGUGAGUAACACGUGAGUAACCUGCCCUUGACUUUGGGAUAACUUCAGGAAACUGGGGCUAAUACCGGAUAGGAGCUCCUGCUGCAUGGUGGGGGUUGGAAAGUUUCGGCGGUUGGGGAUGGACUCGCGGCUUAUCAGCUUGUUGGUGGGGUAGUGGCUUACCAAGGCUUUGACGGGUAGCCGGCAUGAGAGGGUGACCGGCCACAUUGGGACUGAGAUACGGCCCAGACUCCUACGGGAGGCAGCAGUGGGGAAUAUUGCACAAUGGGCGGAAGCCUGAUGCAGCAACGCCGCGUGCGGGAUGACGGCCUUCGGGUUGUAAACCGCUUUCGCCUGUGACGAAGCGUGAGUGACGGUAAUGGGUAAAGAAGCACCGGCUAACUACGUGCCAGCAGCCGCGGUGAUACGUAGGGUGCGAGCGUUGUCCGGGUUUAUUGGGCGUAAAGGGCUCGUAGGUGGUUGAUCGCGUCGGAAGUGUAAUCUUGGGGCUUAACCCUGAGCGUGCUUUCGAUACGGGUUGACUUGAGGAAGGUAGGGGAGAAUGGAAUUCCUGGUGGAGCGGUGGAAUGCGCAGAUAUCAGGAGGAACACCAGUGGCGAAGGCGGUUCUCUGGGCCUUUCCUGACGCUGAGGAGCGAAAGCGUGGGGAGCGAACAGGCUUAGAUACCCUGGUAGUCCACGCUGUAAACGGUGGGUACUAGGUGUGGGGUCCAUUCCACGGGUUCCGUGCCGUAGCUAACGCUUUAAGUACCCCGCCUGGGGAGUACGGCCGCAAGGCUAAAACUCAAAGGAAUUGACGGGGCCCCGCACAAGCGGCGGAGCAUGCGGAUUAAUUCGAUGCAACGCGUAGAACCUUACCUGGGUUUGACAUGGAUCGGGAGUGCUCAGAGAUGGGUGUGCCUCUUUUGGGGUCGGUUCACAGGUGGUGCAUGCCUGUCGUCAGCUCGUGUCGUGAGAUGUUGGGUUAAGUCCCGCAACGAGCGCAACCCUUGUUCACUGUUGCCAGCACGUUAUGGUGGGGACUCAGUGGAGACCGCCGGGGUCAACUCGGAGGAAGGUGGGGAUGACGUCAAGUCCUCAUGCCCCUUAUGUCCAGGGCUUCACGCAUGCUACAAUGGCUGGUACAGAGAGUGGCGAGCCUGUGAGGGUGAGCGAAUCUCGGAAAGCCGGUCUCAGUUCGGAUUGGGGUCUGCAACUCGACCUCAUGAAGUCGGAGUCGCUAGUAAUCGCAGAUCAGCAACGCUGCGGUGAAUACGUUCCCGGGGCU